GGAGGGUUGGCAGAACGGCUAUUGCACCGGUCUUGAAAACCGGCGUCCAGAAAUGGACUUCUGGGUUCGAAUCCCAGGCCCUCCG
rnacentral:tRNA from 1 species